CACUCUGGUCAAGAUUUUUUGGCGCUAAAACAUCUGUUACCAACAAUUCAUGGCUUACAUAUACCUAAAAUAUUCGGACCAGAUGUUACCAAUCUUGACGUUGUUAGUUUUACAGAAAGUUUUCUGACUCACGGGGGUAGAGAGGCGGUUGAUGCAGUUACCUUUCAUCAUUAUUACAUGGGCGGUUCACAUGCAUCCGUAUUAGAAUAUCGUAGUGCUCACGUGCUGGAUUCAUUGAAACAUAAAGUCGAUACGGCUAUCAAUACGUGUAAGAAAUAUGCCCCUGGUAAACCUGUAUGGUUGGCUGAAACAUCUGUUGCAUGGAGCUCUGCACCAAACAAUUUAAACAACCAAUACGUUGCUAGUUUCGCUUGGUUGGAUAAAUUGGGAAUAUCAGCUCAAAGAGGAAUCAAGGCUGUUUUGAGACAAACAUUCUACGGCGGAUUAAUAUCAA